CCCGUACAUAUUAAAGGAUUCACUGGAAUCCAACAUUACAACAUAAGACUAGAAACCUAGCUUAAGAACAUUACCUAAAACUCAUAAGCCAAAUUAGAAACACGAGUUGAGUAACUAAAAUGGGCCCUAAGGACUUCCUAGCCCAUUAUCAGAGGGGAGGCCAGAGACCCAACAGAAAAUUAGAAACCCUAGCAUUACACACCCAUAUGGAAGACCAGUGGCAUUGAGAAGACUCCAAAGCAGAGUAUAUUCCAGGCAUCAUUCAGGCAUCAUUCAAAUCUUCAACCUACAAGUCCAACCGAGGAAGCUUAUGACAAAGUAAAGCUCAGAGGAAUAGAAUUCUGCUAUAGCCCACCAAGGAGAGAUUUCUCACAAAAAUUUCAUUCCCCAAUUGCUAAGCAAGCCUUAGGAACAACAAACAACCAAACUUUGCAC
rnacentral:misc_RNA from 1 species